rnacentral:rRNA from 1 species
AUUGAACGCUGGCGGCAGGCCUAACACAUGCAAGUCGAACGGUAACAGGAAGAAGCUUGCUUCUUUGCUGACGAGUGGCGGACGGGUGAGUAAUGUCUGGGAAACUGCCUGAUGGAGGGGGAUAACUACUGGAAACGGUAGCUAAUACCGCAUAACGUCGCAAGACCAAAAGGGGGACCUUCGGGCCUCUUGCCAUCGGAUUUGCCCAGAUGGGAUUAGCUAGUAGGUGGGGUAACGGCUCACCUAGGCGACGAUCCCUAGCUGGUCUGAGAGGAUGACCAGCCACACUGGAACUGAGACACGGUCCAGACUCCUACGGGAGGCAGCAGUGGGGAAUAUUGCACAAUGGGCGAAAGCCUGAUGCAGCCAUGCCGCGUGUAUGAAGAAGGCCUUCGGGUUGUAAAGUACUUUCAGCGGGGAGGAAGGGAGUAAAGUUAAUACCUUUGCUCAUUGACGUUACCCGAAGAAGAAGCACCGGCUAACUCCGUG